CGGUGACAUAUAAUUUUUUUUUUAAUUUUCUGAUGUAUAUGUUCAAUAUCUAAUUGAAUUCUAAAUUUCCAAAAAUAUUAUGGACUCAUCUUGACCUUAAGUGCAAAAAUGAAAAUGCUACUCGAAAUGGACAAAAUGUAUGGCAAAAAAAUAGCCGAAAGUGGUCAUGAAAUGGCACAACUUUGGCAGCGUAUCGCCGCGAUGCGGUAUGUAGGGUUCAGCGUAUAUUUUUAUUUUUUUUUUAUUUUUUUUUUGGGGGGGGGGGGGUACAUAUAGACCAAGAGUACCAGCAUGUUAGCGUAUAGCUAUCGGAAUCUGUAGUUUUCUGUUCAAAAGAGGGUUGUAAAUAAGAACAAUGAGUUUCAACUUACAGUUUUCUCAUAUCACAUGCAUGCAACGUCAUAACUAUUAUAUAGUCUUCUAUACUACAUGUAUAAAUAAUUCAUCAAACAUCUCAUUUCAUAUAAGUAUUUAUCCGGCUCAGCCUGUCGGGUUUUUACAAAGCAGAGUCAAAUUCAUAUGUUCUAGUUCUGAAUAUGCAUUAAACUUGCCACUGGACGUAAAUGUGUGAAGUCCUAUUUGAAAUCGUUAUUUAUUUCACAUGUGACGACAGAAAUGAUCUAAGUGUCGUCCAUCUUUCCCAAAUGUUCCUUUGAUAUCUAACGCCUCUGAACCCUGAACAGUUUGGGCAAGUUUGGAUACAAUAUUAAAGCUUGAUACGGUCUAAAUUUGGAUUGUGAUAAAAUUUUUGACAUAAUAUAGGUUUCUGACACAAAAUAAAUGUGGUCAAAGGUAUUAAAAAUCUAUUGUGCAAUACUGUGCAAUUGGAGAUUUCUUUUUGAGAUAUUUCGAAAAAUUUGCAAAAAAAAAAUGAAACGCCACCCCCUCCCCUCUUGGAGUAAUUACCACCAAACUCAAUCCCAGCCUUCCCUGUGUGGUAUGGAACCUUGUAGUACAAUUUUAGAUAGAUCCAUAACACAAGUUAUUGUAAAAUAGUAAUUUUAGUAAAAUGCUUGUUUGUGGCCCCUAAUUCCUGAACGUUUUGAGCAAUUACAUGUACCCCUUAAAUCAAUUUCAGCCUUUCAUUUGUGAUAUGGAACCUUGUGGUACAAUUUCAGAAAGAUUCAUUACUUCUCAAUGUCAUAUUAAAAAUUUAUGAAAAUCAAAAGGGUAUUUACAUCAACAGAUAUAAACAAUUUAUCAAAGUUGUAUGAAAAUUGAUGAAAGCGAUAUUGAGUUAUAAUUGUCCGAAAACUGGAAAAUCCCCCUUUUUUAAUGGAUAACUCGGAAACGUAAAAUCAAAAUUUAUAAAAAAAAAAGAAAAGGGAGCUCACGUCAAUAGAUAUAAACAAUUUCUUUAAAGUUUUAUGCCAAUUGGUUAAAGCGUUUUUGAGUUAAUGUCCGAUAUGUUGACGACGGACGGACGGACAGAUGUAUACCAUAAUACGUCCCGUAACCGGGCGUAUAAUAAUUCAACACGUACUAUACAUUUGGCUUUACCAGUCUCCAACAAGAGAAAUAUUUAACACACACACACACACACACACAUGUAUUUAUGUAGAGAUAUACACAUGUCUCACAGAGUACUGCUAAACUGUAACAAACACAUUAAUGGUCCGUCUGGUGAAAGAAUAUUCCACUCAUAUAGACAAAUGUUUUGUGCUGAUGUUCAUGUAAUAUUUGCCACUGAAAGUUUUGCAAAAAAUCAAGAAAACAAUCAAUGGUAAAAAAAUUAAUAAAUAGUAAUAAAAGUUCAGAUGUAGGUUCGAGUUUAGAUCACUCAAUGUGAUCACUGUCGACAGUGAUAAAGGGAUAUUGUCGGAGACCGUGACUGAAAAGGACAUCCAGUUUUUUUACUCUUUAUUCUUUGGUUCUUUAAACAAAAAUAGCCAACAUGAUAUAUCAGAGAGUGCUUAAAU
rnacentral:lncRNA from 1 species